CAAUUAGGACUCUCCUAGCUAGAGUCCUAAUAGAAUGUCCCUCUCAAUUAGGACUCUCCUAGCUAGAGUCCUAACAGUUUUACAUGAAUGUCCCUCUCAAUUAGGACUCUCCAAGCUAGAGUCCUAACAGACCCGCCCUCUUCAAAUCAGCCUUGUCCUCGAGGCUGAUGAUUCGUGAAUUCUGGGAAUUUGAUCUUCAAGUCAUCAUAGUUCUCCCAAGUGGCAUCUUCUAUUGGUAGGUUUGCCCACUGUAUUAGCACUUCAUUAGUGGGUCGUCGUCAUCGAGUCACGAUCCAUCGAUCAAUAAUGGCACUUGGUUGGGUCUGGAGUUCUCUUUGGGUAGUCAUAUUUGGUGGGUGGCUUUGGGCUGUCUCCAAGCACCUAUUUAAAACUUUCGUCUGGCUGUUGGUUUGUGGGUGAUAUGUCGUACUCCUUUUCAAUUUAGUACCCUGCAUAUGGAAUAACUUUGUCCAAAAUCAGCUCUUGAAUAUGCAAGUAGAAUUUGUCACAAGCACAAUGCGUCCCUUAUAACAUAAUUCUUUUGAGUCCCGAUUGUAAUGAGCCACGGAGCUUGGUGCUUCCUCUAAUUUUUUUUUUUUUUUCUUACUGGUCUCCGAAUCUUCCUGCCAUUCCAUCUUAAUAUCCUUAAGGAAGUCGCUGGUUGGAAG
rnacentral:lncRNA from 1 species